UGGGGCUAGGGGCAAGUGUUCAUUACAGCACAAUGAGACCACAAGAACUCCGUGCAUACAGGCAGCAUGAGCGAGAAAAGAUGGAGAAAAAACUAAACGAAUAUGUUUUGAUAUGCAGGCGAUUGAAGGGGCGGCAAUGCAGAUACACCUACAGUACCAUCAUCACAAAACACAGCACCAUUACCAGUAUUCAACAUUUCUAGCCAAAUGAGAUCAAUGAUGAUCCACAAUUCAAAGGACAAAGCAUCAAGCUCAAAUUUAAGUAUGGCGAACGAUAUGGGAGAAUCAAGAACAGAUGUACCUUGCUCUCUAUAUGAAAAUGCUGGUGAUACACUGCUUCAAUCAUUUGAAGAUGUUGAGUCCACUUUCAAAGGCAAGCCAAGGAGACUACGGAGUUUAGAGGACUUCACUGUUGACUCAGGCAGAUCGCAGACGCAGAACUCUGAUUCCAGUUGUCCACCAAAUGAUGGGGCAGCCAGUAUCUCUAGAACAGCAGUGGUUGAUAACGAUAACAUAAGUGAAGUUGCAUCAAAUAUGCAUCUUUCAACUAACAAUUCAUACGACCAUAUUUCACCAACACCACAUGACCUGGACAAACUUAAGG
rnacentral:misc_RNA from 1 species